UUGCUGGCUUCUUUCACGGAUGGUCAGCUCCCCUUAAAUGCAUUAGCCGGUGCCCCGCGUGGACUGUCUAUUGGUGUGAUAAUUAUCUACGCGUGGACAUCUGCAAUUAUAUGGGUUUGCACUGCUUCCAACCGUCUGUUCAAUCAGACAAUACAUGACAAUUUGACCUCAAAUCAGGUAGGACUACCCGCUGAACUUAA
rnacentral:misc_RNA from 1 species